AUUGAACGCUGGCGGCAUGCCUAACACAUGCAAGUCGAGCGGAGCGGCGGACGGGUGAGUAAUGCCUAGGGAUCUGCCUGGUAGUGGGGGAUAACGUCCGGAAACGGACGCUAAUACCACAUACUAUCAGAUGAGCCUAGGUCGGAUUGGCUAGAUGGUGGGGUAGAGGCCUACCAAGGCGACGAGCCGUAACUGGUCUGAGAGGAUGAUCCGUCAAACUGGAACUGAGACACGGUCCAGACUCCUACGGGAGGCAGCAGUGGGGAAUAUUGGACAAUGGGCGAAAGCCUGAUCCAGCCAUGCCGCGUGUGUGAAGAAGGUCUUCGGAUUGUAAAGCACUUUAAGUUGGGAGGCGUUACCAACAGAAUAAGCACCGGCUAACUUCGUGCCAGCCGCCGCGGUAAUUC
rnacentral:rRNA from 1 species